AUGCUAUUGUUGAGUAAAUUGUGAGAGUUCUUAUUAAUAAAUUUUACCAUCUAUUUGAAAUGUAUAUAGUCUAAGUAGAUAUCACAAGUUCUUUAAAAUUUCAUUAGUAUGGUAAAUUGUACCUUUUAUUGGAGAGGCAGAGAAAGACAGACAGACAAAAAGAGAGCUCUGAUUAGCUGAUUCACUCCCCAAAUUUAUAGGACAAAAAUUAUUACUCACUGAAGAAAAUUAUUAUUUGACUUCCUCUGUUCUAAUCAAUUAUGCUGUCGUUUUUGCAAUUGUGAUGCCAAAUAAUUCUGAUUUUAAAUAAUACUUGUGAUUAUAAGUUUAUUUAUUUUCUUUUAUGUUGUUUGAUUAAUAUUCUUCCAAUAUUUCACCAUUUAAUAUCAUUCUGGACCUUGAUUUAAGACAUUUUUAUUAUUGAAUAAUGUGAAAUGGUCAAGCCCUCACCUGGAGCUCUCUGUGCUGGAAGAGUUGAAGCAGAUCUGGCUGAGUUCUGGCCACCAAAUCAAGAAAGUGCACAUUUUCCACUGGAGAUCACUUUCAAUUCCACUCCAUGCAAUAAGAUCAAAUGUUUAUAAAAUGGGAUGGAGAGAGAACCAGAAAAUUUCAGGUUUCAUAUGAUCAUCUUUUAUUUUAAAAUAUUUAUUUAUUUAUUUGAAAGGAAGAGAGAAUGAGACUGCUCCCAUUCAUUAAACCCCCAAAUACCUACAAUGGCUGAUCUAGACCAGAGGUGAGGUCAUAAACCUAAAAUUGAAAACCAGUCUCUCACAUGGGUGGCAGGGACCCAUUACUUGAUUAGUCACUUCUGUCUCCUGGAAUCUGCAUUGUUAAGAAGCUGGAAUCAGAAGCUGGAAGCAAUUAUUGAAACCAGGGACCUUGAUAUGUGUUGCAGACAUCUUAACUGGUGUCUUAACUGUUAGGCUAAAUGGCCAGUCUUCUCAUUUGUUCAUAAUUGUGUCAUACAUUCUAACAGCCAUAAAAUGCUUCUACACUCAGCUAGAAUAGGUUAAUAUAUGAUCAAUUGUCAAAAUAUGUGUAACAGAACCACAUCAUUGAGGACGGAUGUAGCACAAUGAAGAGUGUAGAUUGUAAUUUUACUAUAAACCUGUGCACAGAAAGUUAUUUGAGCAUUUACCCCUAUUGAAUUCCCAUCCUAGUCCUUAUUAUGUUCAGAGUUAUUUGUCUGGUAUGUCCUGUGACAGUUCUACUGAUGCAUGGUUUCUAAACACAACUCUUUCAUCCUAGUCUAUUCAUAAUCACCACUAAUCCUCUGACUAUUUCUACAAU
rnacentral:lncRNA from 1 species